rnacentral:misc_RNA from 1 species
AAAUGAUUCCAAGGGAAGACUUUCUAGAUGGCGUCGAAUAACAGCAUUACCCUCAUCAUUCUCUGGAACAUUAUCAUAUCCUCCAUAUCUCGUCGCCAACCUCAAAAAAAGAAUCCGCUCUGUAGUCUUUGAGAUAAUUAAGUUCUUUGGCAAGUUUCCCCUCUGAACCAUAUGCAGUGCUGCUGUAGCAUAUGAGUCAUCAUCCUCAGCAAUAACAAGGACCUCAUCCCCUUCUUGCAACACAUAUGAUUCAUCCGGA